UACGAAGGGGGCAAGCGUUGUUCGGAAUUACUGGGCGUAAAGGGCGCGUAGGCGGCCGGUCAAGUCAGAUGUGAAAGUCCUGGGCUCAACCUGGGGACUGCAUUUGAUACUGACUGGCUUGAAUUCGGGAGAGGAUAGCGGAAUUCCCAGUGUAGAGGUGAAAUUCGUAGAUAUUGGGAAGAACACCAGUGGCGAAGGCGGCUAUCUGGACCGACAUUGACGCUGAGGCGCGAAAGCGUGGGGAGCAAACAGG
rnacentral:rRNA from 1 species